rnacentral:rRNA from 1 species
CCUACGGGAGGCAGCAGUAGGGAAUCGUCCACAAUGGGCGAAAGCCUGAUGGAGCAACGCCGCGUGGGUGAAGAAGGUCUUCGGAUCGUAAAACCCUGUUGUUAGAGAAGAAAGUGCGUGAGAGUAACUGUUCACGUGUCGACGGUAUCUAACCAGAAAGCCACGGCUAACUACGUGCCAGCAGCCGCGGUAAUACGUAGGUGGCAAGCGUUAUCCGGAUUUAUUGGGCGUAACGGGAACGCAGGCGGUCUUUUAAGUCUGAGGUGAAAGCCUUCGGCUUAACCGGAGUCGGGCUUUGGAAACUGGGAGACUUGCGUGCAGUCGAGGUGAGUGGAACUCCCUGUGUAGCGGU